CUUGUAGCCACCCGCCGCCGGGGAAGAAGCCAACCUGUAUCCCGGCGGGGUGGCCACGCGGAAUGAGGAAGCUGAGGACGAAGGAGGGGAGCCUGGCUUGUAGGGAGCCGGUGGCUGGAAGGGCUGUAGACACUGGGCGAAGUGCUCCGGUUAUCCUGGUCGAUGUCACGGGGGUCACUGCUUGUCUCAUCAUUGAAGCUGUGGCCAUCUAGGCUGUCGACAUCUGAGGGAGACUGAGGUCUUGGGAGUUCCUGGAUUGGAGAGAUUGGCAGGACAGUACUGAGCAGAGACUGGACAUGGCUAUGGCGACACAGCUGGAAUAGCAGCUGCAGCCUGGAGUUUGGAAAACAGAGGACAAGAGUAGGAAGACAUGGUAGUUGGCCGGUCAGAUACAGGUGUCCUACCUUGGUGGGUUGUCGAGAUUUCUCAGCUUUGCCAUCGCUGCUGGAGGUGCUAACACCAC